AUUUAAAUAAUUUAAUUAAAAAUUUAAUAUUGAAAAUAUUAAUUUAGAUUUCAAAAAUCUUUUAAAUA
rnacentral:tRNA from 1 species